rnacentral:lncRNA from 1 species
AUUCAUAUGGUUCUGUUUGGGGCUUGUGAUCAUUGGUUGGAGUUUAUUUGGGGUUCUCACAUCUUUUGGAGGCUUUAAGAAGUGUUUGAAGAGGUAUGAAACCAUUGUGAGCAAGUUUUGAGUAACAUCUUUUGGAGGCUUUAAGAAGUGUUUGAAGAGGUAUGAAACCAUUGUGAGCAAGUUUUGAGUGCAAGUUUGUUCUACUUGAGUUUUCAGGGGGUUUAUGGUUGAUUUUGGAUCAUUGGAGUAUGCAUUAUUGGAUGGUCAUUUGAAGGACCCUACUUCUGACUUGGAGUGAUAUUGAUUCAGUUCAUCUCAUGCCAUUGUUU